GACGAACGCUGGCGGCGUGCUUAACACAUGCAAGUCGAACGAAGUGGCGAACGGGUGUGUAAUACGUGGGUAACCUGCCCUCCUUUUUGGGAUAAGCCUUGGAAACGGGGUCUAAUACCGAAUAAAGGGGGGUGGGCUCGCGGCCUAUCAGCUUGUUGGUGGGGUGAUGGCCUAACAAGGCGGUGACGGGUAGCUGGGCUGAGAGGGUGCCCGGCGACAUAGGGACUGCGAUAACGCCCAGACUACGACGCAGUGGAGCAGUGUGGGCUAUUGGGCAAUGGGUGAUCGACUGAUGCAGCGUGGCGGCGUGGGGGAUGAAGGCUUUCGGGUUGUAAACCUAUUUCGCAAAAGAUAGGGUAGGUGGAGAAGAAGCGCCGGCUAACUACGUGCCAGCAGCCGCGGUAAUAC
rnacentral:rRNA from 1 species